ensembl:lncRNA
UCCAGGUACCUACAUUCUGAAGUAAACUUUCUUAGACUUACUUAUUAGUUAACAAAAGCAGUUUGAAUUAGGAUUGAUUGCAGGAAUGGCAACAUGAAUUUAAAUCUUACUCUAGAAGUUUUCUUCUUUCUGAGAAUAAAAGUUGCGUUUGCAAAUUUUCUUUCAAUUUUCCAUCAAAUUAAUGGGGAAAAACCGGCAGAAGAAUAGCGCUUUUCCCUGCUGACAAUUCAAAGAGAAAUGAUGGAUUCAAGACUCAGGAGUCACCAAAGCCAUCAGCACUUCCAGUCUCCAGAGGAAGGCCCUGUAAAUGGUAGCACCAGUGGCCUGCUAAGGCCAAGCCGGUCAGGGACACCGUCCAGCAGGCAGCCACGUUUUUCUCCUUGGCUGCCAGAUUAUUCCAAGAACAAAGUGUUUCCAGGAACAAUGUGUUGCUGGAAGAGAAAAAAAACAUGAAGUGCAGCCACUACCUUCAACUAAUGUGAAUUGCUGGCUUUCUUUUGUGAAGGCAGAAACAGCCACCCUUUGUUGUGCUGAGGAUGUAUUUACACCAUAGCAAACAAUCAGUUUUCGUAUGCGAAGAAAUGAAUGCUUUCCCUAUUUAUAUCAGUGCUUGCUGAAGAGAUAGAGGGAUUGUAGCUGCAUAAAUACAUAAAGCUUUCUAAACUCUGACCUAUAGAUUUUUUAUUUUUUUUAAUUAAUAUGUCCCUAGUUUAUCUUGGUUCCUCACUGCAAGAAAGACAUUGAGGCCCUGGAGCGUGUCCAGAGAAGGGUAACGAAGCUGGUGAGGUGUCUGAAGCACAAGUCUUACGAGGAGCAGCUGAGGGAGCUCAGGUUGUUUAGUCUGAAGAAAAGGAGGCUCAGGGGUGACCUUAUCACUCUCUGCAACUGUCUGAAAGGAGGUUGUGGCAAUUUGGGUGUCAGCCUCUUCUCCCACGUAACAGUGAUAAAAUGAGAGGUGAAGGCCUUAAAUUUUACCAGGAAGGUUCAGGUUGGAUAUUAGGAAACAUUUCUUCUCAAAAAGAGUUGUAAUGCAUUGAAACAAGAUGGCCAGGAAGGUGGUGGAGUCACCAUUUCUGGAAGUGUUCAAGAAAUGCAUUGAUGCGUCACUGAGGGUCAUGGCUAGUGGCCAUGGUGGGGAUGGGCUGAUGGUUUCACUAGAUGAUCUUGGGUGCCUUUUCCAACCUUAAUGAUUCUGUGAUUCAGCCCCCAGAUCCUUCCCCAGCAGUUCCUCCUCCAGCUACCCUGCCAAGCAGUGAUCCCACCACAAAUGCGGUCCUGCUGUCAGAAUAAGAGUAGAAGGAACAUCUACCUUUUGGUUAUCCAAAACAUCACAAUAUUACAUCCUGCUUCAGCCAAACCAUUUGCUUCAGUGUGAAAAUGAGGCCUAUAUGCCUACAUUUUUAUUGCAAAUGCUUGAAGCAAAUGUUGAUUUUGAGGGAAGGCAUACAAGUAAAAGGCAAAGGAAGGGCUAUUAGAUAUUUCAAAUCAUUGGCUUUUUUUUUUUCAUAUUCUUAGGAUUUUCUGAUGCUUUUGCUUUAUGUUUUAAGUAAGUACAAGCAAAGAUGGUGUUUAAAGCUCUUGCCAGUUUAGCUAUGUUUUAAGAAGUGUAAAAUUAAUGACUUAGCUGGCUCAAGUAAAAGCCAGUGGCUUGGCAAUUAUACCAGCAAAUGAAUCCUUCAUUGUCUAUCAGAGUAUAUACUAUCUAUAGAUUGUUUUCCUCAGGUUAUAAACCAUGCCAGCAAAGAAAUACCCCAGCUGCUUCAAACUACAUUGAUAAGAGGAUCUGCAACUCAAUAAAUGUUUCCCUCCUGAUGCAAGCUCAGAGAGGAUAUUUGAAGUACCUAAUUUUUAAGACCUUUACAAAGUAUGUCAGUCACAGACUUGAUCUUUCAAUAUUAUGCACAAGUCCCAUUCCCUGAAAAGUAGUCAUUUGUUGUUAAUGAGGGUUGUCAAUGACUGAGGUUAAGCUGUAAGCUGAACUGGAAUUUUUUUAAUAAAGUGCCUAUUAUUUGUGGAAAACUGCUGAGUAAUGCUGUUUGUUUAUAUAAUGCCACCUUAUAUUUAAAAACAUCACAAAAAUGAAGAGUGAUUCAUGCAUUCAAUUGUGAGGUCUUGCAAAGGGCGUGCACCAGUCAAACUCCAGCAAGCAGUACUGGUAUAACUUCUACUCCACUUACUUAUUGGGCUGGUAUAAGAAUUGAAACCACAGUUCAGUCAAACCCGACCACUUGCAAUUUGCAUGUAUAUUCUACGAUGCCAGCAGCAUCUGAUGACUUGAAGAAGAGAAAGAGCCAGCAGUGCUGUCUGAACUUCAAGCAUCUCAAAAUUUUUGUAUUGGGAAAUUGUCCUGAGUCUCCACUGAUUUACACAGCCAUUUGCAAACUCCUUCCAGCUGAACUUGAUGUCUCCGGUACAGACUCUUCAUCUGGGCCUGCUGUCUUAUACAAACCUCAUGUUUGCAAUCUGAUCUCAUUUCAAUUACCUAAAGAGAAAGGCAUUC